CCUACGGGAGACAGCAGUGGGGGAUCUUGGACAAUGGGGGGAACCCUGAUCCAGCGACGCCGCGUGAGUGAAGAAGUAUUUCGGUAUGUAAAGCUCUGUCAGCAGGGAAGAAAGAAAUGACGGCACCUGACCAAGAAGCCCCGGCUAACUACGUGCCAGCAGCCGCAGUAAUACGUAGGGGGCAAGCGUUAUCCGGAAUUACUGGGUGUAAAGUGAGCGUAGACGGUUAAGUAAGUCUGGAGUGAAAGGCCUGGGCCAAACCCCGGGACUGCUCUGGAAACUAGUGAACUUGAGUGCAGGAGAGGUGAGCGGAAUUCCUAGUGUAGCGGUGAAAUGCGUAGAUAUUAGGAGGAACACCAGUGGCGAAGGCGGCUUACUGGACUGUAACUGACGUUGAGGCUCGAAAGCGUGGGGAGCAAACAGGAUUAGAUACCCGAGUAGUC
rnacentral:rRNA from 1 species